GGAUGUAGCUUAGUGGUAAAAUGCUUACCUAGCAUGCAUGAGGUCCUGUGUUCAAUCUCCAGCACCA
rnacentral:tRNA from 1 species